ACGAACGCUGGCGGCGUGCCUAAUACAUGCAAGUAGAACGCACAGUUUAUACCGUAGCUUGCUACACCAUAAACUGUGAGUUGCGAACGGGUGAGUAACGCGUAGGUAACCUGCCUGGUAGCGGGGGAUAACUAUUGGAAACGAUAGCUAAUACCGCAUAAUUUUAUUUAUUGCAUGAUAAUUGAUUGAAGGAUGCAAUUGAAUCACUACCAGAUGAACCUGCGUUGUAUUAGCUAGUAGGUGAGGUAACGGCUCACCUAGGGGACGAUACAUAGCCGACCUGAGAGGGUGAUCGGCCACACUGGGACUGAGACACGGCCCAGACUCCUACGGGAGGCAGCAGUAGGGAAUCUUCGGCAAUGGACGAAAGUCUGACCGAGCAACGCCGCGUGAGUGAAGAAGGUUUUCGGAUCGUAAAGCUCUGUUGUAAGAGAAGAACGGGUGUGAGAGUGGAAAGUUCACACUGUGACGGUAUCUUACCAGAAAGGGACGGCUAACUACGUG
rnacentral:rRNA from 1 species